GGCGGUAGGAGCAGCCCACGCACGCACUGGUCCUGAUCCCGUCGGAGAUCCAGCUGGGAAGCCCGGAGAGGUUGUGUGUUGUGCAGCCGGCCAGAGAGGGGGGGAGAGGGAGCUCCCUCGGGGUGACUGUCUUCUACGCCCGGGCCAACAUCACCCUCCUCCAGCUGGAGACGCAGGAUAUUGGAGCCCACGGCUGCGUCCAGU